rnacentral:rRNA from 1 species
UACGGAGGGUGCAAGCGUUAUCCGGAUUCACUGGGUUUAAAGGGUGCGUAGGUGGGCAAGUAAGUCAGUGGUGAAAUCUCCGGACUUAACCCGGAAACUGCCAUUGAUACUAUUUGUCUUGAAUACUGUGGAGGUCAGCGGAAUAUGUCAUGUAGCGGUGAAAUGCUUAGAUAUGACACAGAACACCGAUUGCGAAGGCAGCUCACAAAACUGUAACUGACGCUGAGGCACGAAGCGUGGGUAUCAAACAGG